rnacentral:rRNA from 1 species
GACGAACGCUGGCGGCGUGCUUAACACAUGCAAGUCGAACGGAAAGGCCUGCUUUCCCUUGUGGAUUGCGGGUACUCGAGUGGCGAACGGGAGAGUAACACGUGAGUUAUCUGCCCCCAACUUGGGUAUAAGCCUGGGAAACUGGGUCUAAUUCCCGAUAGGACUGCAGGGUGGUGCCUGUGGUGGAAAACGAUUUUCUAGUGGUUGGGGAUGAGCUCGCGGCCUAUCAGCUUGUUGGUGGGGUAAUGGCAUACCAAGGCGGCGACGGGUAGCCGGCCUGAGAGGGUGGACGGCGACAUUGGGACUGAGAUACGGCCCAGACGCCUACGGGAGGCAGCAGUGGGGAAUAUUGGAGAAUGGGCGGAAGCCUGAUGCAGCGACGCCGCGUGGGGGAUGACGGGCUUCGGGUGGUAAACUCCUUUCGACCGAGAGGAAGCCACAUGGUUGGAAGGGUGGUGACGGUAGUGGUAGAAGAAGCACCGGCUAACUACGUG